rnacentral:rRNA from 1 species
AUUGAACGCUGGCGGCAGGCCUAACACAUGCAAGUCGAGCGGAAGAAGGGAGCUUGCUCCUGGUUUCAGCGGCGGACGGGGGAGUAAUGCCUAUGAAUCUGCCUGGUAGUGGGGGAUAACGUCCGGAAACGGGCGCUAAUACUGCAUACGCCUAGAGGGAGAAAGUGGGGGAGCUUCGGACCUCACGCUAUCAGAUGAGCCUAGGUCGGAUUAGCUAGUUGGUGGGGUAAAGGCCUACCAAGGCGACGAUCCGUAGCUGGUCUGAGAGGAUGAGCAGUCACACUGGAACUGAGACACGGUCCAGACUCCUACGGGAGGCAGCAGUGGGGAAUAUUGGACAAUGGGCGCAAGCCUGAUCCAGCCAUGCCGCGUGUGUGAAGAAGGUCUUCGGAUUGUAAAGCACUUUCAGUGGGGAGGAAGGGCAGUAAGUUAAUACCUUGCUGUUUUGACGUUACCAGCAGAAUAAGCACCGGCUAACUUCGUG